rnacentral:misc_RNA from 1 species
UCGCGGCUUAUCACCGGCAGUCCCCUUAGAGUGCCCAACUUAAUGAUGGCAACUAAGGGCGAGGGUUGCGCUCGUUGCGGGACUUAACCCAACAUCUCACGACACGAGCUGACGACAGCCAUGCAGCAUCUGUGGUGCACCCUCGAAGGUCACACAUUUCUGUGCGCUUGCAGCACCAUGUCAAGUCCAGGUAAGGUUCUUCGCGUUGCAUCGAAUUAAAGAACAUGCUCCGCUGCUUGUGCGGGCCCCCGUCAAUUCUUUUGAGUUUUAAUCUUGCGACCGUACUCCCCAGGCGGUCGACUUCACGCGUUAGCUGCGUUACCGAAGGAGUUACCCUCCGACAACUAGUCGACAUCGUUUAGGGCGUGGACUAC